CUACGGGUGGCACCAGUGGGGAAUCUUGCACAAUGGGCGAAAGCCUGAUGCAGCCAUGCCGCGUGAAUGAUGAAGGCCUUAGGGUUGUAAAAUUCUUUCGCUAGGGAUGAUAAUGACAGUACCUAGUAAAGAAGCCCCGGCUAACUUCGUGCCAGCAGCCGCGGUAAUACGAAGGGGGCUAGCGUUGUUCGGAAUUACUGGGCGUAAAGCGCACGUAGGCGGACUUUUAAGUCAGAUGUGAAAUCCCAGGGCUCAACCCUGGAACUGCAUUUGAAACUGGAAGUCUAGAGACCAGGAGAGGUUAGCGGAAUACCGAGUGUAGAGGUGAAAUUCGUAGAUAUUCGGUGGAACACCAGUGGCGAAGGCGGCUAACUGGACUGGUACUGACGCUGAGGUGCGAAAGUGUGGGGAGCAAACAGGAUUAGAUACCCUGGUAGUC
rnacentral:rRNA from 1 species